GGAACUACAGGUAGGGCCCUACUUUUUAGACGGUUAUGCUGAUGUUGAUGGGAUACACACAGCCUGUGAGUUUAACGGGUGUUUUUUUCCCACGGCCGUGUCACUUGUUAUUGUGAAAAAGCACAAAAUCCUAUGACGGGAACAUCUUUCGGUUUCUUUAUUACAAGACGCAGCUCAAAACCGACUAUUUGAAGCGCCUUGGGUUUGUAGUGAGGACUCUUUGGGAGCACGAGUGGGAGGUGAUGAAAGAAACCGACAGGGAGCUUGCAGACUUUUUAAACCGAGCCCGGUUACCCCAGCCUCUCGUGCCUAGGGAUGCUCUUUUUGGGGGGAGGACAAACGCUAUCCGCCUAUAUUACAAGCCUAACCCCGGGGAAGAAAUCCACUAUUAUGAUUUUACCAGCCUGUACCCUUUUGUAAACAAAACCAAAGAAUACCCUCUCGGACACCCCGAUAUAGUCUAUGACAAAUUUGGGCCCCUUGCAAAUUAUUUUGGAAUUGCAAAAGUUAAAGUGUACCCCCCACGAGGCCUCUUUUUCCCAUUGUUACCCGUCAGAGUGGGUGGCAAGCUUAUGUUCCCGCUAUGCCGAACCUGUGCGGAAACCGAGCAGCGGGAGACAUGCACCCAUACUGACGAGGAGCGGGCCAUCCUGGGGACUUGGUGCACGGUGGAAUUGAACGCGGCCAUAGCGAAGGGGUACGCGGUGGCUAAGAUCUAUGAAAUCUGGCAUUUUAAUGAAAAAUCUGAUAAACUCUUUUCAGAGUACAUAAAAUUACACCUCCGUCAAAAACAAGAGGCUUCAGGGUAUCCCAGUUGGUGCACAGACGAGGAAAAACAAAAUAAGUACGUUAGCGAUUUCUACCAGAAAGAAGGCGUGCAUUUACGCCAACACAAAAUCAGAUCAAACCCUGCUAAACGCCAAAUCGCUAAACUGUUUUUAAAUUCUCUGUGGGGUAAAUUCGGCCAAAGAUCCAACCUACCCAACACCAGCAUCGUGAGAGACCCUAACGAACUUUUGCAGUACCUGUUCUCCCCCAAUUAUGAGGUUUCAUCCUGCGAGUUUAUCGAUGAUGAAACAGCGUGCGUGUUGUGGAAGCACGCAAAAGAACGGUACUCUGUUUCUGGCAACACCAACGUUUUCAUAGCCUGUUUCACCACCGCUUAUGCCCGCUUAGAAUUAUACAGGCUCCUAGACGGUUUGCAAGAGCGGUGCCUGUACCACGACACUGACUCGGUGAUCUUUGUGAAAAGGGAGGGUGACUGGAAUCCCCCUCUGGGGGAUUAUUUAGGGGACCUCACGAGCGAAAUUCCGCCAGAUCAACACAUCACCGAGUUUGUGUCGGCAGGCCCAAAAACCUAUGGGUAUAAGCUGUCGGGUGGAAAGGCCUGUAUGAAAGUCAAAGGUAUUACCCUAAACGUAGCAAACUGCGAAAAAAUCAACU
rnacentral:lncRNA from 1 species